AUGUGCUGUGUCAGUUACAGUGACCCGUCUCCUCCUCUUCCUGCCGAGGAGAAGAGUAAAGAGGAGGAGCAGCGGUGCAGCGCAGCCAUGGAGGUGGAUGCAGAGGCCUCCUACAGCUAUGGCUUCCUCCCCCAAGGCAGGCACCAGCCCUAUUAUGCUCCACCUCCUCCUCCACCAGAAGAUGGUGAACUGUGGGAGUACUUCCCUUGCCCUUUCUGUUACAUCGAGGUCGAAAUGCCCUUCAUCUCCAGCCAUCUGCAGGAGGAACACUGCUUUGACACCAGAAAUGCUGUUUGCCCGAUAUGCGCCGAGAAUCUGGGGAAGGACAUGUCCGCGCAUUUCAGAUUCCAACACCCCCAUCUUCUCAAGAGGAGGAAGCCUUCGAGGCCCAGCAGCUCACCAUGGCCAGCAGCGGCAUCACCACCUGCAUAUGAUGUGAACCCCUACAUGAUGAGUAGCAGGCCAUGCCAGGACCCUGAGCCUGACCCGCUGCUCUCCCAGUUCAUCUGCGGCAGCGGAGACCAAACCGAAACCGAGCCGGGACUACGCCACGGCCCGAGCAGCGCUCAUCCGGCGGAUGCCCAGAGGCCUGUGAGCCAGCUGGAGCUGGAGGAGAGGCUGCAGAGGAUUGAGUUCCUUAGGGAGAUUAUCACAUCGACCAUUCUUUAG
rnacentral:rRNA from 1 species